CCCUGAGCCUUCCCUGGGGCGGCGGGAAGUAGCCAUCUUGCCUCAGAGCCCUCUGUACAUCCGGGGCUCUCCCCCUCCUGGUAGAGCUGACAGAAAGCAUCGUCACGCUGCGAGAGGUCUGGCCACAGAGGAGCUUCCAGCUCCUGCAGCUUCAGUGAAAUGAAGAACCUGCAAGCAAAGUUUCCAAAGAUAAAGCUCAAACUUUUAUAAAGGCUGGAUGCAGCAGAGAAUAUGUCUUUCAAUUUACCCCUGAUACUACAGUGCUCUGGAUCUUGCUAAAAGGAACAGAAGUUCUUUCAACUUUCCUCUUUUUAAGGGGAAAUACAUCUGCCAAAGAAGAGAAUGCUGUUGGUUGGGUUGUGCUUGAUACAGAGGAGGAAUGGAUGGUCAACCCUAAAUUCUUCAGAGACGCUUGUAGCAUCCACUCCAGCCUCUGCUGAGCUUACCACCUCUCUGCCUGCUUCAUAGAUUUCUGCAUAUGCUGCGUGGACAGCUUGAGAUAUCUUCAGGCUCUCUGCUGAGGAGAUGCCAGACAGAUUGGCUGAAGAGCUGAACAGGCAGUUUAAUUUAUGAAGACAUGAAGGAAGCACAUUGAGCACCACCAAAUGGAACAAUAGUUAGAACCAGUAAGCCUAAUAUGAACUUUCCAAGAAGCUCCUCAGUGUGCAGGAAUGGAGAUAUAAGACAUUUAGAGUUCAAGCCACUACAGUAACAGCUGUUUAGCUUCCGGGGCCAUACCUGCUCAAGGCCAGAGACUUCAUCAGGCAACAGCACCAACAUGCUCAUUGUUCCACUGACAAAUGGAAGCUCCAGGAUCUUAACUUUCUCAGAAGCCACCGAUGCCACUUUAAAUGAACCAAUCUGGCUCAUCAUCUGCACAGGAAGAAUUUCAUAAGAUAAGUGGGAAUCUGAAGUUAUUUCUCAGGAGCUUUGUAACGUCAGAAACAGUGUGAAGAGAGAGACAUAAGGAAAAUGCCCUGGUAUUAACAUAGUGUCUGGAAGAGGAGCAGACAAGUGAGCAGAUACGCUAAUGCAGUGUUUAUAUAACAACAUGUCUACUCUCUUCAUAAAUUCUAGAUGACAUCUUUCAGGUAUGCCCCUGUACCUCAGUCACUCUGAAAGGUAUUGCUUGUGUGUCUUCAUCCUUAAAUGCUCUCUCCCACAGUCCUUUGAAGUAAAUGGCAUUAACCAGGACCAUUGCAGUUU